rnacentral:lncRNA from 1 species
AGUGAAAGAUCUUUAGUUAUCGCAUACAAAGGACUUUCAUCGGGAAUUGGCUUCUCCGAAUUUUGGUUGGAAGGAAGGUUGUGUUUGUAUCGUGGCUUGUGAAAGCAUUUACAAGCGGAAAGAAGAAUGACAGGAAAGCAUAAAGAAGCAUCUUUUCACUAUUAACUUUCAUGGUGAGUCAUUUCUGCAAACGUUCCAUUUUGUUUUGUUGAUUAGGUAUAUGGACAUGUUUAAUCAAGAUCAUAUACUAAUUGCCUUUUCUGUGUAUAGAUAUUGGUGGAUGCGUUCUUGAAUGCUUCUGCAGGUUUAUAACUUUUCUACUCAAUAGCUGUUUUCCUUUUUUUAUGUUUAUUUUAUUUUUUUCUUGAACAUAAAGGCCCAGGUCAGACACGGACAGGGCAUCCGAUGGCUUAUCGAAUCAUCAGCUGGGAUAGGAAAAAUUGAGUGUCCCAAAUUGCAGCAGCUUUAUCGAACUCACCAAACUUGGCUCAAAGCAGAAGGUAUUAACAAAAUUAAUAAAGUGGUAUUCCGUUAAAUAGAAGCAGAGAAGUUGUGUCAAACUUUUUGGCACAAUUUUCAAGAUAAAAAAACAAAAGUAUGACUUGUGCUUAUCCAAAGCACAAGUUACAUACGUUUGGUCUAUUCGAUAUGCCAUAUGUUUUUUUGCCUCUUGUUUUUAUAUUCUGAUGAUUAUGUGGCCUAAAAGUAAGGAAGAACAUUGUAAUUUCAAAAAUCACGACAAAUAAGAUUUUUGAAUUUUUCAUAAAUCUCAGGAGAGGUAAAUAAAAUUAUUCCCUUUGGAUAAAAAUUGAUAAAAAAAAAAAGCUUUCUUUCCUUUGGGUAAAAAUAAUAGUAAAGUUUCUGCCCUUAUAAUGUAUUUUUAAAGAUGCCAAAAUUUAUCUUUAAAUUGUUCCCUCAUUUUUAGGCCAAGCAUGGGCUAGUUUUUUUUAGGCCUUUUUUAGUUUAUUUGGUUUUAUAGUUUUUUUUUUGUUUUUAGUGUAUUUUUUAAUGGUUUGAUCAAAAUUUUAAAAAAUUUGCAUCUAGUUUAGAAAAUAGUUCACUACAAAUAAAAAAAUAAAAUAUUUUUACUUGACAAAUUACUAUAUUCUUUGUCUUUAGUUAAUUUUUUUUUUUCAAAUCUGAAACAUUAUUUUGCAUUUUUAGAAUAAAAAUAUAAGUUUCACUUGCUUUUGCUUGAUAAUUUUUAUUAACUUCCAAGUUCCAGGAUUAGGAACCGAAUAAGGUAAUAAAAAAAUGACCAUUUCGAUUUCUUUCCUUAACUUCACUCUCUCUCUCUAAAUCAAUAGGUAGGAGAUAGAGAGAGUAUACUCCAUACUGAUCAAGAAACCAUCGAAGGCCAACUAUCAGGUCACUUGGCGUACCAGUAUAAUCUUAUUGUGUCAUCUGUGAGAGAAUUUGGCAAUUAUUGGUAAUGUUCAACUUGUUUAAGAGGACAUGCUCAGUGAUAGUUGGGAAGCUUUUGGGGUAAAUUGUUACUCAAAUCUUAUGAAAACAAAGAGUAAGAAUUGGAGAUGACCUAAUCCUCACUCAAGUUUGGUGAAUUGGUGUUUUUUUCUUUUGUUUCUCUUUUAUUAAAUGUGUGUAAAGAAUUCACGUAAUAGAAUUGGAAAUCAAUUGAAUUAGAGAAUUCGGCACUUAUCAGUAGGGUUCAACUUAUUAAAAAUUGCAUAAAACAACUAAAUUCAUUAUUACACAAUGUGCAUUACUAUUAAGCUUACUUUUGUUGUUUAGUUUCCGUUAAUUGAUGUUUAAGUAAUUUCAUGAUUUCAUCUCUAUAAUUUAGGUUACAUUAAGAAAUAAUUAUUUCGAAUGAUUGAUGCACUGAAGAUGUUUGUGGUGGGUUUAUGACUUAAAACUUUGGCCAUACUAUAAGUACUGCCCUGGGAUGAUUUUGUUGGUGAUCUGUCUUUUCCUUAUGUUGUUGCUAUUUUUAGGGGAAAAAGGAUUUUGCCAUUUCUUAUGUUUAUUUUUUGUUUUGUGGGUGAGUUGUUGGUUUGACAGGCUUAAGUUGUUGAGUAUGGUGAAGAAGCACUCAAAGUUAUUAGGGAAGACCAUUGUAGACAAGGAAGAUGCUUCAGAUGUUGCAAUGGAUUCAUGCUUUUGGCAUGAUGUCAUGAAUUUGUAUUUCGUUCAUGGUAGAGAGUCGAGGGGCCGCCAAGAUGAUGACCUUGUAUUUUUUGUAUGAAAAUUGGUUAGCACCAUUCUUCUUCUUUGGACGACACACUCCUUGAUUGGAUUAUGUUGUUCCAGAGCUUCUUUAUCGCAUAUAAUUUAUAGUUUGCGUUUUAUCUUCUUCUUUAUUACUAUAGUUUGCUUCUUCUUCUUCUUCUCUUUGGAAACACACUCCUUGAUUUGAUUAUGUUGUUCCAGAUCUUGCAGGGAUAUGGUUCCAGCGAUAAUAUGGAAGGCAACUCAUCUUACUUUGUACGCAGGUGGGCACCUAAGGUAAUACCGCAUGCAUAUCAGUUCAAGUGUAACCCAUCUGUAUAAUGAAAUGAAAUCAUGUGUUGUUGCUUAUCCACUCUCAUGAUAUGGCAGUAUAAAUAUUUAUAAUUUUUUUUAUUAGUCUAAUUAAAUUGCGAAAUGAUCCUUCUUAUGUCUAGACUCUAAACCGUAAGUUGUGUCUUGAUUUUUUAGAAGCCAAUGGAUUUAGCCUGUUGUACAAUAUGUAUAAGGGCUAAAAUUUUGUAUCAGUGUGUCAUCUUAGGUAGCUUGAAAAUAGAAAUAUUUUUAAAGCAUUUUUGAACAUUAUAGAAGAAGAUAUAUUAUUUAUAAAGCGCAAAAAAAUAUUUGGAAACAAAACUAAAAAUCAUGUCAAGGAAUAUAACCAAACGAGGUUUACAAGCAUAUUAAAUUAAAAAAAAUCAAAAGAAUAACGAUUAAUAAACAAAGGGAAGUCUUGGUGACAAGGUUAAAUUAUUCUUUGUUAGUAUGAUUAAGAGUGAAGUCCAAGGAAAUUCAUUAAAUAUUGGAAACAAUAUACAAAAGUUUAAAGGUUGGGCUGGUGAGGAGGGUUAAUGAUAUUAAGGUAAAAAAUAAGAGGCAGAUUUUAGAACUAGGGAAGAAUAAAUUGAGGAAGGUAUAUGAAAGAAAAAUUGUUAAACGUUGUCUUUCUUUUUUUUCCCCUCUAUUUCUCAUAUUGUCAAUUGGAUUUUAAAUGCUUUCUUUAUCCUCAAUUUUUUUUUCAACAUAAAAAGGAAAUGUUAGCAAUUCUUGUUAAAGUGUAACUGUUUUUGCCUGAUUUGCAUUAUUUAGGUGGUUUUGAUUUAGUCCUGUAUGUUGCAGUGAAAAAGUUUAAUAUUUUAAUUUUGUGUACCAAAAAAAGGAUAUGCUUAAUCUUGGUUUCCACUAGUUUUAUAUGUUGGUUUGUUGACAAAAUCAUCUUGGCCUUUUCAAUGGAAAGGAAAUGCAAUUUGUUCCUCGAUUCUACAAUGCCAUUGUGUAUGUCUAAUAUAUAGUUCUCAAUUUUCGUUAAAAAUUAUCAAUUGUUCCAAAGGAUAAGCCAAGAAAACCAAGGAUGGAUACUAUUUCAGGAACAUGGAUGCCAAGCUAUUUCAAAUAGUACUUGAUAGAUUGAAAUCUCCUCGUGUUUUUUGGCACACCUAUUUGAGAUCCAAAUUUCUGCCUUUCAAUAGUUGUUUUGAUUGAAAGCAAAUUUUAAGUUUUUAGAGCCAGAAAGACACCUGCAUCCUAU